CUAGCGACUUCAGAGUUUGAUCCUGGCUCAGGACGAACGCUGGCGGCGCGCCUAACACAUGCAAGUCGAACGAGUGGCGUUCCUUCGGGAACAAAGCUAGUGGCGGACGGGUGAGUAACACGUGAGGAACCUGCCUUUCAGAGUGGGAUACCGUUUGGAAACGAACGUUAAUACCGCAUAAUGUAUUUAUGUCGCAUGGCAUUAAUACCAAAGAUUUAUCGCUGAGAGAUGGCCUCGCGUCUGAUUAGAUAGUUGGUGAGGUAACGGCCCACCAAGUCUGCGAUCAGUAGCCGGACUGAGAGGUUGAUCGGCCACAUUGGGACCGAGACACGGCCCAG
rnacentral:rRNA from 1 species